rnacentral:rRNA from 1 species
AACGAACGCUGGCGGCGUGCCUAACACAUGCAAGUCGUGCGAGAAAGUUCCUUCGGGAGCGAGUAAAGCGGCGCACGGGUGAGUAACACGUAGGUAACCUGCCCCCCAGUCUGGGACAACUAGAGGAAACUCUAGCUAAUGCCGGAUGAGACCACGAUCCCUUCGGGGGUUGCGGCCAAAGAUGGCCUCUACUUGUAAGCUAUCGCUGAGGGAUGGGCCUGCGGGCCAUUAGCUUGUUGGUGAGGUAACGGCUCACCAAGGCUGUGAUGGCUAGCUGGUCUGAGAGGAUGACCAGCCACACUGGGACUGAGACACGGCCCAGACUCCUACGGGAGGCAGCAGUGGGGAAUAUUGCGCAAUGGGCGAAAGCCUGACGCAGCGACGCCGCGUGGGUGAUGAAGGCCU